GGGGUUAUAGCUCAGUGGUAGAGCACAUACUUAGCAUACCUGAGGUCCUGGGUUCAAUUCCCAAUACUUCCA
rnacentral:tRNA from 1 species